rnacentral:piRNA from 1 species
GAGGACUUCUUUUUAAUGCGGUAGG